AAAUUGAAGAGUUUGAUCAUGGCUCAGAUUGAACGCUGGCGGCAGGCCUAACACAUGCAAGUCGAGCGGUAACACAGAGAGCUUGCUCUCGGGUGACGAGCGGCGGACGGGUGAGUAAUGUCUGGGAAACUGCCUGAUGGAGGGGGAUAACUACUGGAAACGGUAGCUAAUACCGCAUAACGUCGCAAGACCAAAGUGGGGGACCUUCGGGCCUCAUGCCAUCAGAUGUGCCCAGAUGGGAUUAGCUAGUAGGUGGGGUAACGGCUCACCUAGGCGACGAUCCCUAGCUGGUCUGAGAGGAUGACCAGCCACACUGGAACUGAGACACGGUCCAGACUCCUACGGGAGGCAGCAGUGGGGAAUAUUGCACAAUGGGCGCAAGCCUGAUGCAGCCAUGCCGCGUGUGUGAAGAAGGCCUUCGGGUUGUAAAGCACUUUCAGCGGGGAGGAAGGCGGUGAGGUUAAUAACCUCAUCGAUUGACGUUACCCGCAGAAGAAGCACCGGCUAACUCCGUGCCAGCAGCCGCGGUAAUACGGAGGGUGCAAGCGUUAAUCGGAAUUACUGGGCGUAAAGCGCACGCAGGCGGUCUGUCAAGUCGGAUGUGAAAUCCCCGGGCUCAACCUGGGAACUGCAUUCGAAACUGGCAGGCUAGAGUCUUGUAGAGGGGGGUAGAAUUCCAGGUGUAGCGGUGAAAUGCGUAGAGAUCUGGAGGAAUACCGGUGGCGAAGGCGGCCCCCUGGACAAAGACUGACGCUCAGGUGCGAAAGCGUGGGGAGCAAACAGGAUUAGAUACCCUGGUAGUCCACGCCGUAAACGAUGUCGAUUUGGAGGUUGUGCCCUUGAGGCGUGGCUUCCGGAGCUAACGCGUUAAAUCGACCGCCUGGGGAGUACGGCCGCAAGGUUAAAACUCAAAUGAAUUGACGGGGGCCCGCACAAGCGGUGGAGCAUGUGGUUUAAUUCGAUGCAACGCGAAGAACCUUACCUGGUCUUGACAUCCACAGAACUUUCCAGAGAUGGAUUGGUGCCUUCGGGAACUGUGAGACAGGUGCUGCAUGGCUGUCGUCAGCUCGUGUUGUGAAAUGUUGGGUUAAGUCCCGCAACGAGCGCAACCCUUAUCCUUUGUUGCCAGCGGUUAGGCCGGGAACUCAAAGGAGACUGCCAGUGAUAAACUGGAGGAAGGUGGGGAUGACGUCAAGUCAUCAUGGCCCUUACGACCAGGGCUACACACGUGCUACAAUGGCAUAUACAAAGAGAAGCGACCUCGCGAGAGCAAGCGGACCUCAUAAAGUAUGUCGUAGUCCGGAUUGGAGUCUGCAACUCGACUCCAUGAAGUCGGAAUCGCUAGUAAUCGUAGAUCAGAAUGCUACGGUGAAUACGUUCCCGGGCCUUGUACACACCGCCCGUCACACCAUGGGAGUGGGUUGCAAAAGAAGUAGGUAGCUUAACCUUCGGGAGGGCGCUUACCACUUUGUGAUUCAUGACUGGGGUGAAGUCGUAACAAGGUAACCGUAGGGGAACCUGCGGUUGGAUCACCUCCUUA
rnacentral:rRNA from 1 species